CAGAGUUAUCUAACUCCCAAACCCAUGUGAACUUACCUUUUGUUGCCUCGGCAGUGCCUACCCUGUAGCCAGUUACCCUGUAACGGGCUACCCUGUAGCGCCCUGCCGGUGGACCAUUAAACUCUUGUUAUUUUUAAGUAAUCUGAGCGUCUUAUUUUAAUAAGUCA
rnacentral:misc_RNA from 1 species